rnacentral:tRNA from 1 species
GCUGGGGUGCGCUCAGUGGGAGAGCGCCUGCCUUGCAUGCAUGAGGCCCUGGGUUCAAUCCUCAGCACCACA